CAGGGGUGACGUUUACGUAGCGCGCAGGGAAGGCUGGUCACCCCACCCUAAUCUUGUUAUGCAAAUAGGCUUCCCACUUGGCAGGGGCCGUCUUGUCCACUCGUUUCUGUAAACAUGGGUGGCAAAAAGAGAAGAUGGAGCUGCCAUUUAGAACAUGCCUAAUCCCAGCUUCAUCUUGCUGAGCAAAAAUGAAGGAGCCUGGACCCAACUUUGUUACUGUGAGAAAGGGUCUUCAUUCAUUCAAGAUGGCAUUUGUUAAGCACCUACUACAAACCUUGGAAAUCAAGAAAGUUCUGGAAUGAUGAAGCUGUUCAUGCCAAGACCGAAAGUGCUGGCCCAGUAUGAGUCCAUUCAGUUCAUGCCGUGACAAUUUUCUUGGAACUCCUUUUUAUUGCUUGUGCUCCUGGUACAUCAGCCCAUUUCAUGGUACGUUGAAGCAUGCCUCCCUGUGGGAUUGCUGGAUUCCCAGCCCAGUGAGGUAAUGACCAAGCAGCGUCUUCAGAGGAAGGAUAGCUGUACAGCGUGGUGAAGGACUCAAUGAGAAGCCUCUGGAGACUCAGAGCCUAUCCCAGGUUCCUACACAUCCAAGAACAAAUGUGUCCUGAGCAGAUGAAUGAAAGAGUGCAUUGCCCAUCCUUCAGAGAGCUCUGUGUGAAUCCAUAAAAGGUGCUUAAAGCUUUUCACUCCAUGAAGCCUCAUCUGUCUCAUGAAAGCAAUAAAUAAGCUUCUCCAGCACCAGCCUUCCCCCAAACCAGAACAAGAGCAUUGAUCUACACCCAAGAGGAGCAGGAAUCAGCAGAAACACAAUGGAACAAACUGAUAUGCCAUCUAGUGGAAACACAGAAAGCCUCAAAUGAAAAUCUCAGCCAAAAUGAGGCCACUCAACCAGUGUCCAGUGAAUCAAGUUUCUGACAAAAGUCAGCUAAAUCAAACACCUCUGUGUUUCACCCUUUUUGAUGGCAACGCCUUAAAUGUGACUGCUGCUCAGAAA
rnacentral:lncRNA from 1 species